UCAUCUACACAUCAUUUAAUCGGUAAAUUUCAUUCCUUUAGAGUGAUUCUCAAAACAAUAUUUGCUACCAAUAUUUAAUAGUGCAGCAGUGAACAUGAAAUCAGGAAACCCGCUGAAAAAGCCUUUUCAAACACAUUCCAAGAGACCAAUCACCUCGAUAAAUUAAUUCCGAAAGACCUAGCUUCGACAUCAUUCUCCAAUCGUUCAGCCGGGAGCUGGGCUGGUUCAGGAGCUGACACAACUUCUGACGGGUCUCUGCCGACAGCCUGCGAACGCACAGGGCGGGGAGAGUGUGGUCACAGUGACCGUCGAAGACGCUCCCGAGGAUCCACUCGUAUUCGUCGACACACUCGACGUCACGGUAGCCGUCGGCCGGCCUGGCAGCGGACUCGGCAAGGGCCCGCUCUCCGCAGACGAAAC